rnacentral:rRNA from 1 species
GACGAACGCUGGCGGCGUGCCUAAUACAUGCCAGUUGAGCGCUGAAGGUUGGUACUUGUCCCAGCUGGAUGAGCAGCGAACGGGUGAGUAACGCGUGGGGAAUCUGCCUUUGAGCGGGGGACAACAUUUGGAAACGAAUGCUAAUACCGCAUAAAAACUUUAAACACAAGUUUUAAGUUUGAAAGAUGCAAUUGCAUCACUCAAAGAUGAUCCCGCGUUGUAUUAGCUAGUUGGUGAGGUAAAGGCUCACCAAGGCGAUGAUACAUAGCCGACCUGAGAGGGUGAUCGGCCACAUUGGGACUGAGACACGGCCCAAACUCCUACGGGAGGCAGCAGUAGGGAAUCUUCGGCAAUGGACGAAAGUCUGACCGAGCAACGCCGCGUGAGUGAAGAAGGUUUUCGGAUCGUAAAACUCUGUUGGUAGAGAAGAACGUUGGUGAGAGUGGAAAGCUCAUCAAGUGACGGUAACUACCCAGAAAGGGACGGCUAACUACGUG